GGUGGGUUGACUCAGUGGUUAGUGCAUAGGUCUCGCAACCGAAAGGUCGCGGGAUCUAAUCCCACAGAGGCUG
rnacentral:tRNA from 1 species